GCGAGCGAAGAGGGAUAAGCUCAAAUUUUAAAUCUGUUGGGUUCCACUCGACAGAGUUGUAUUUUGAAGAAACGUUUUCUGCGUCCAGGAUUAGCCUAAAUCCUUUGGGAUAAGGUAUCAUGGAGGGUGAGAAUCCCGUUCAUGGUUAAUCUUAAGGAAGCUCUACGAUACGUUUUCCAAGAGUCGAGUUGUUUGGGAUUGCAGCUCAAAAUGGGAGGUAAAUUUCUCCUAAGGCUAAAUAUUGGCGAGAGACCGAUAGCGAACAAGUACCGUGAGGGAAAGAUGAAAAGAACUUUGAAAAGAGAGUUAAACAGUACGUGAAAUUGUUGAAAGGGAAACGAUUGAAGUCAGUCAUACCAACGGGAAAUCAACCUUUUGAGCUCGGUCUCGUGGGUUUUGAAGAGUUUCAAAGCCUUCGGAUUCGCGGGAUUGGGAUCUCUUGGUGUACUUUUUCGUACGGUUAGUCAACAUCGGUUUUGAAUGUCAUAAAAUGACUGGAGGAAUGUAGCUUCGAUCUCGUAUUGAAGUGUUAUAGCCUUUGGUAGAUGUGAUGUUUGAGACCGAGGAUUGCAACGGAUACCCUUCAGGGCUAUUCGUCUGAUCUCUGAUACGUUGCCUUGAUGUUGAAAGCUUGCUUAUGAUGUUAGGGU
rnacentral:rRNA from 1 species